UUCGUCGCACCACACUUUGCCUUCAGUCGGUGUCCAAGUGUUCUCCGAGGACGGAAAAAUAGGCCGACUCUAUCGAGAAUUAUUCUCGAAUUGACAGAAGACCCUCGGAAAGGUAUGACGACCUCCGUGAACGGGAUUAAGGAUGUCAACGUUGUCAACGGAGAUAUUAUCAGUAAACAGAUGGAUAACGCGACGGAGAACGCGACGGAAAGACUCCUCGAAGUCGAGAUCCUUACCAAGGAAGACUUGGCUCCAGAUGGAGGCUGGGGAUGGAUGGUCGCCCUGGGCAUGAUCCUGGCUUUCGUAAGUGGCUUUAUCCAUCCGCAUGGCUCGGGGGAAGGAAUUGUCUCGCGUAAGACGACAUCCAAUGGCCCCACCGCUUCUUUUGCCAUUAUUUUUGGGGAUUUUCUUAACGAAACGGGCCAAGCUGGGUCAGCAUCGACUCUCCUAAAUUCCGUCUUCAUGGUCAGCUUCUCGUUCUCAGGUCUCCUGACGAAUUGCCUGCUGAAGAAGUUUUCCAUGAGGUCGGUCGGAAUUGCCGGAGCUAUCAUUUUUGCAAUUCCCAACAUUGCCUUGGCGUUGGUCCAGCACGUCUACCAAAUGGCACUGAUCUUCCUAUUACAGGGUAUCGGUCUCGGGUUCAUCAUCACCAUCUGCAACACGAAUUUUAACGCCUAUUUCGUUAAAAGAAGAGCUACGGUCAUGAGUGCCUCCCAGGUGAUCAUCGGUUUGGGGGGCAUUGUUUACCCCAUUUGCAUUGAAAGAAUGAUGACAGCAUUUGGCUUUCGCGGCACCGCCGCGAUGACGGGAGUUUUGAGUCUCCAUUGCGUCGUCGGCAUGACGAUGAUGCAUCCGGUGGAAUGGCAUUUCAGGGAUAGACGAGAAGUCCUUCGGGAACGAGCGGCUGCCCGAAAAUUGUCGAAAGGAGAGCUGGACGGAAGUCGAAGAUACGACGAGGUCGGAAGACGCAGCAUCGAUAUCUCCCAGGCCAAUUCCCGAAGGACCAGUCUCAGGAGUCUGAAAGAGGGACGGAUACAGGAGAUCCCUCUUCUCGUCGAGACUCUCAAGACAUCGCAGAGUCGAGUGACGUCGUCGUCGGACUUGGACAUCGGUGGACCAUUUCGACCCAGGACCAAGUCCAUCACGGCUAGGGAUGUCCUGAAGAAGAGGCUGUCGAUCCUCUCGGCUUCCAGCAUGACGAAUCUCACCAGCGUCGGGGUUCUAGGGCAGCCUGAAGUUCGCCGACAAUCCGAAAUGGAGAACAAGUUCGACUCAUCGUCGGCUAAGAAAUCCAGGACCAUUCUGACCACAUUGGCGGAUUUCUUCGAGGUUGGGUUACUGAAGGACUGGGUCUUCCUGAACUCCUGUCUGGGCAUCAGCUUCGUUUUCACGAGCGACCUCACCUUCGCAACCCUUUUGCCCCUGAUGAUGACGGAUGCUGGAUACUCCAAAAGUGACUCCGCUCUGGCAAUUACAGUGGGUGCCACCGCGGAAUUGCUUUCCAGGAUCCUCCUGGCAAUUUUUACAGUUUUCGUCAACGCAAGGGCCAAGUACAUUUUCUUCUUCGCUAUGGUUGCCAUGGUUUUUGCAAAGCUAGCCUUCCUGUAUCUGGAAGACACCUUAUCAGGAACAUUGGUGUCGAUAGCAGCGAUUGGAGUGGUGCGUUCGUGGUUGCUGGUUCCUCAUCCAUUGGUCAUUGUUGAAAAUUUCACCGUUGACAAUUUCGCAGCAGCGUAUGGUGUCUUUACGGUUGUCAGUGGAGUAACAUCCAUUGUCUUCGGACCAGUCGUUGGGUACAUAAAGGACUGGACGAACAGUUUCGACGUUUGUCAGCUCGUUCUUGUUGGUCUGAAUUUCUUGUUCGUCGUGCCAUGGAUGCUGGAAUUCUUUUGGGUGGAUUUUCUUCCCAGAAGAAAAGAUAAAGAUGCAAAGCAAGCUCCAGGAGCUUAACACGUCAUACCAUCGUCAAAGAGAUCUUGUACAUACGCACAUUGUUACUUGUGCACUGGCGGUCAUGAAUGACUUACAAGUGUACAUGGCGGCAAGUUUAAAUCCACGAAAAUGUUGGGCGGGUACGAGUGGAGAGUAGCAGAGGGAAUCCUUACCUUGGAUUAUACAUCGAGCACCAGGUGACGGAUGGAUACUCUACGAGGUCUCAACCUGAAGAAACGAGAGAAGGAGCUGACGACAAGACUGGUCAAUUUGUUAAUAUUCUUUUAAACGAGCUCAAAAAUGUAUGUACUUGCGGUACCUGAGGUAAACUAAACUGUAAAAUAAUUAAUGUAAUAAAGCAACUUAUUGAACAAUAACAA
rnacentral:misc_RNA from 1 species